rnacentral:tRNA from 1 species
GGGCCCGUAGCUCAGCCAGGCAGAGCGGCGGGCUCCAGACGAAAUCUACGGGUCUGGAAGAGCCGCGAGGCGAUGAUCGCGGUCUGGAGCGGUGACCCGUGUAGGAGAGACCCGUAGGUCGGGGGUUCAAAUCCCCCCGGGCCCA